UGCCAGCCGCCGCGGUAAUACGGAGGGUGCGAGCGUUAAUCGGAGUUACUGGGCGUAAAGCGCACGCGGGCGGUUUGUUAAGCUAGAUGUGAAAGCCCCGCGCUCAACGUGGGAGGGUCAUUUAGAACUGGCAGACUAGAGUCUUGGAGAGGGGAGUGGAAUUCCAGGUGUAGCGGUGAAAUGCGUAGAGAUCUGGAGGAACACCAAUGGCGAAGGCAGCCACCUGGGUCAACACUGACGCUGAGGUGCGAAAGCGUGGGGAGCAAACAGGAUUAGAUA
rnacentral:rRNA from 1 species